AACGAACGCUGGCGGCAUGCCUAACACAUGCCAGUCGAACGAGAUCCUUCGGGGUCUAGUGGCGCACGGGUGCGUAACGCGUGGGAAUCUGCCCUUAGGUUCGGAAUAACAGUUAGAAAUGACUGCUAAUACCGGAUGAUGACGUUAAGUCCAAAGAUUUAUCGCCUGAGGAUGAGCCCGCGUAGGAUUAGCUAGUUGGUGUGGUAAAGGCGCACCAAGGCGACGAUCCUUAGCUGGUCUGAGAGGAUGAUCAGCCACACUGGGACUGAGACACGGCCCAGACUCCUACGGGAGGCAGCAGUGGGGAAUAUUGGACAAUGGGCGCAAGCCUGAUCCAGCAAUGCCGCGUGAGUGAUGAAGGCCUUAGGGUUGUAAAGCUCUUUUACCCGGGAUGAUAAUGACAGUACCGGGAGAAUAAGCCCCGGCUAACUCCGU
rnacentral:rRNA from 1 species